GCUGGGCGUGGUGGUGGGCGCCUGUAAUCCCAGCUACUCAGAAGGCUGAGGUGGGGGAAUCGCUUGAGCCCUGGAGGCAGAAGUUGCAGUGAGCUGAGAUCACGCCACUGUACUCCAGCCUGGGCAACAGAGCGAGACUCCAUCUCAA
ensembl:misc_RNA Metazoa_SRP Metazoan signal recognition particle RNA